CCUACGGGCGGCAGCAGUGGGGAAUAUUGGACAAUGGGGGCAACCCCGAUCCAGCCAUGCCGCGUGUGUGAAGAAGGCCCUCGGGUUGUAAAGCACUUUCAGUGAGGAAGAACGCCUGGUGGUUAAUACCCAUCAGGAAAGACAUCACUCACAGAAGAAGCACCGGCUAACUCCGUGCCAGCAGCCGCGGUAAUACGGAGGGUGCGAGCGUUAAUCGGAAUUACUGGGCGUAAAGCGCGCGUAGGUGGCUUGAUAAGCCGGUUGUGAAAGCCCCGGGCUCAACCUGGGAACGGCAUCCGGAACUGUCAAGCUAGAGUGCAGGAGAGGAAGGUAGAAUUCCCGGUGUAGCGGUGAAAUGCGUAGAGAUCGGGAGGAAUACCAGUGGCGAAGGCGGCCUUCUGGACUGACACUGACACUGAGGUGCGAAAGCGUGGGUAGCAAACAGGAUUAGAUACCCCAGUAGUC
rnacentral:rRNA from 1 species